rnacentral:rRNA from 1 species
UACAGAGGGUGCAAGCGUUGUUCGGAAUUAUUGGGCGUAAAGGGCGCGUAGGCGGUGCGGUAAGUCUGCGGUGAAAUCUCCCGGCUCAACUGGGAGGCUGCCGUGGAAACUGGCGGGCUUGAGUGUGGCAGAGGGGGGUGGAAUUCCGCGUGUAGCAGUGAAAUGCGUAGAGAUGCGGAGGAACACCGAUGGCGAAGGCAGCCCCCUGGGCCAACACUGACGCUCAGGCACGAAAGCGUGGGGAGCAAACAGG